CAGCAGCCGCGGGAAUACGGAGGGUGCAAGCGUUAAUCGGAAUUACUGGGCGUAAAGCGCACGCAGGCGGUCUGACAAGUCAGAUGUGAAAUCCCCGGGCUUAACCUGGGAACUGCAUUUGAAACUGUCAGGCUGGAGUCUUGUAGAGGGGGGUGGAAUUCCAGGUGUAGCGGUGAAAUGCGUAGAGAUCUGGAGGAAUACCGGUGGCGAAGGCGGCCCCCUGGACAAAGACUGACGCUCAGGUGCGAAAGCGUGGGGAGCAAACAGGAUUAGAUACCCUGGUAGUCCCUGUCUCUUAUAC
rnacentral:rRNA from 1 species